CAGUCGCCGCGGUAAUACGAAGGGGGCUAGCGUUGUUCGGAAUUACUGGGCGUAAAGCGCACGUAGGCGGAUAUCUAAAUCAGGGGUGAAAUCCCAGAGCUCAACUCUGGAACUGCCUUUGAUACUGGGUAUCUUGAGUAUGGAAGAGGUGAGUGGAAUUCCGAGUGUAGAGGUGAAAUUUGUAGAUAUUCGGAGGAACACCAGUGGCGAAGGCGGCUCACUGGUCCAUUACUGACGCUGAGGUGCGAAAGCGUGGGGAGCAAACAGGAUUAGAUACCCCGGUAGUCCCUGUCUCUUAUAC
rnacentral:rRNA from 1 species